rnacentral:rRNA from 1 species
AGGACGAACGCUUGCGACGUGCCUAAGAAAUGCAAGUCGAACGGGGUCAUCCUUCGGGGUGGCCUAGUGGCGAACGGUCGCGUAACACGUGGGCAACCUGCCCUGAAGCGGGGGACAACACACCGAAAGGUGUGCUAAUACCGCAUGUGAAUCGUGGUGGCAUCACCGAGGAUUCAAAGCCGCAAGGCACUUCAGGAUGGGCCCGCGGCCUAUCAGCUAGUUGGUGAGGUAACGGCCCACCAAGGCUUCGACGGGUAGCUGGUCUGAGAGGACGAUCAGCCGGAUUGGGACUGAGAUACGGCCCAGACUCCUACGGGGGGCAGCAAUUAGGAAUCUUGCGCAAUGGGCGAAAGCCUGACGCAGCGACGUCGCGUGAAGGAUGAAAUCUUUCGGGAUGUAAACUUCUUUUUCGGGGAAGAACAAUGACGGUACCCGAAGAAUAAGCCCGGCUAACUACGCGCCAGCAACCGC